ensembl:lncRNA
CACUCUCAUCAUCUGCAAUUUGGCAAAAACCUCAGCUAUCCAUCAUCCGUCGUGCCGUACUUUUCUCUCUUCAUCGAUCAGCAGUCAUCACAUUCACUUCCGGUCAUUGGCUCGGAUUCUCUUCAUUCUCUAAUAUUCAUUUGUUAGAUAUCUCGAGCCAACGUUUUCAAACAGGAAGUGUAUUUCCCAGAGAUUCAUUCAUCCGAGUGUGUUCUCAUCUGACUAAAGAACCACACCGAGGACGAGAACACACCACACGUUCUGUUCAAUUGUAGAUCAGUGGUUUUCAAAGUGGGGGCCGCCAGGGGGCGCCCAGGGUGCCUCAACAAUUUGGUGUGAAAAAUAAAUUCUCACUCUCAGACAACCACACACACACAAUCAAUUUCUAAUGUAAUGUAAUGUAAAGAUGUAAGAUGUAAUUAUUAAUUUUUAAAAAAAGAGGAUAUAUUCAGAAGUCUGUAUUUUUAAUGUGUUUUAAAGACAUCUUGCAAAAGGGGGGCCUCGGUCAAAUGUUACUGCCAUUUGGGGGGCCUUGUCCUGGAAAAGUUUGGGAACCUCUGCUGUAGAUCAUGUGUUGUUCAUUCAUAAUGUUUUUGUCAUUUUUUCACAAAAAUCAAACUUGAUCUGCGAUUGUGCGCGCAACACUGAAAAGUCACAUGACCAAAGUUAGCAACCACGAUUGAUCAGCUUAAGCUCCGCCCAUGUCGUAUUGACUGACGACCUGUUUGUAAAUCAGUAAAAAUCAGGAUGUUCUCAUGGCAUGUUCUGACACAGAGAUAAGCGUGUGUGUGAAUUUAAGUAGCGUAGCAUAUCAUAGCAUAGCGUAGCAUAGCAUCUCGCCUACCAGAGUGUCCAGGAUGGACAGAUGGACAUCCAGCAUGAACAUUCUGACAGGCUGAGCUAGGGCUCUCUGCAGGCUGUACACCGGCUUCAUCUCCGUUCCUCCAAUCAGUUCUUCAUCCUUCAGGCCUGCUGUGAUUUAUCCUCCUACUGUUUAUUGCUCUUCUCUUCUCUCUUUCUCUCACCGUCUUCCCUUCUUAUGCAUUAAGUUAUAAAUAAAACGAAAAACAAACAAGACUACAAGGCUUUGCUUCCUUCUCUCUCUUCUCUCACCUUGCUACUACUGUAACAGGUGGCAAGCUGAGGCUUGUCUAAUGCACUGUAAUGCGCUCUCUCUCACACACACAUACACACACACCCUCUAUGAAUAAAAGGUUUCCAGGAAUGCGGAGAUGUGGAAAGAAGCAGGUAUUCAUAACACACACACACACACACACACACACACACACACACAAACAAAGUGUGUGAGAGUACUUCUAGACACAAUUCAAUAAAAUAAAUAAAGAAAAGAAAACAAUUUUGUACCAUUUUAUGAGCUUGUACUUGAUUUUGUGGGGUCUAACUGUGUGUGUGUGUGUGUGUGUGUGUGUGUGUGUGUGUGUGUGUGUGUUUCCAGUUGUUCCAAACCCUGAUGUAAACACAGGACAGAAAUAGAGGUCAGAUGCCUGUUUACAGUCCAAGGAUUUAGCAUUUAGCCUUUAAAGCAUACCCUUAAGAAUUUAGCUAGAUAUUUUCUUUACACGAAAACAUCAUAAAGUCAUUCUCACAAAUAAAAUGACGUGAAUCCUAUAAACAUGUCCACUUUAAACAACAUUCCAGCAAAGGAUUAAGAAAACUAAAGCCAGCUCGCUUCCAACAGAUUCUGAGAUAAGAAACAAAUGAACAAAGUUUUGCUAUUGUUCACCUGUUGGCUAUUUUUGCUAACAGCAACACUUCAGUGUUACAUUACACCUGAAUUCCACUCAAACAAACAAAGAAAAACACCGAUUUGAUUAUCCAAAGACAAUCAGAUCGACCUUGUGCUAAGAUCUUAGCCACCAUUUUCUACCACUCAUGCUAACUGGUGGUUAGCAGAGGGUUACUAGCUUCCAGACUAGCUGCUAGUUUGCAGGCUCGGGUGUAAUCCUCUGCCCUUCUAUUAUACAAGAACCACAAAAGCAAGUGCAUAUAGUGUAAAUUACAAAACAAAGCCAGUGAGAUAUGCUAAACGAUAAAUGACAGAUUCUGAACAGGAUUAUAAGAAAAAUUGUAGAUAUUCCUAGCAAGAGCAAGUUUUCUGAGGAAGUGAGGAAGAGUGAGAAAGAGUGAAGGACGGUUUAAGGUCAUCGUGAUUGAGAAAAGGGAAAUCCUUUUCCUCAGAUGACGCAGAUCGUAGAUCCUAAUGCUAACGACCAUGUCCCUGAACACACACCUUCCUGCCAAAACAGGAAGUGAACUUUCACCUGCCUAGAAAAUUUCUGUGCAUAAUACAAAUCACUCUCCUUAAAGCUAAUUAAUGUUUGCUAGCAUGCUUGCUAAACGUAACCACAGAAACAACUUCUGAAUAAAUUUGGUAGAUUUAUUCCACAGUAUUCGUGACGCUUUUGUCUGCCACGUUUUUUUUGUUUGUUUGUUUGUUUUUGUAUUAUGGGAUAGCAUUCGCAGAAGAAGUGUUAAAAACGAUUAACUGAAACCUUCACUGUUAACAUUCUAGUAUUUUAGCAGUUUUAUAUCAAAAGACAGACACACAUCCAGUCAGAAUAGUAUGUGUGUGUGUGUGUGUGUGUGUGUGUGUGUGUAAAAUGUUGGACAGAUAGAUGAUAGUAAUGUCGGCAGAAUAAAAGGAAAACAGCAUGUGUGUAUAUGGUUGCUGUAAUAAAUAACUACACACCCACACACACCCACACACACGCACACAGAGAUCAAAGUUCAAGGCUAUGAGUUAAAUUAGUUUAGACCAGGCACUGCUUACACACACAUUCAAUAUACGGUAUAAGACCAAGUCAUAAAAGCUCAAUCACAUUUUAUCCAGAGGAAUGGAAAUACACACACGCACCCACACACACACACACACAAUUAAAAAAUUCUCAAUGUAUAUUCUCAGAAAUAUUUUUUUAAAAUAUAGAAUCAUGCAUAUAUCAACAAUAUUAAUCAUGAAGUAACAAAAAAUCUGUUGAAUCUGGGUGCCAAAACUUUUGGUAUUGGUGGACAGAAGGAGAAAAAAAUAACUGUCAUUAUGAAAUAAAACUUGCUUGAUCGCUUAAUAGGUGAACAUUAAAGUUACCCAAUUUUCAUAAAAGACAUUUUUAUUUUUUAACAAUUUUGCUUAAAUCUGAAAGAAAUUUCAGACUUUUUCAGGGAUUUUGUUGCAUUCUUUUAAGAAAUAUCUGAAUAAUCUGAGUUAGUGCUGUCGCAUCAUUUAAAAAAGCCAAUCAGAGUCCAAAAUUAAAAUAUGCACCAAAUACAGUCUCUGAAACAUCAGCUUACCAGGAAAAGGGAUGGGGCUUGGAAUGUUAAGGGAGGGGCCCUGAUUUGCAUAUUCAUAAAAUCUGUAAAGGUAAAACUGUAGCUGCUUCAGUGUGUUUUUUCUGUCAAAUCUCUCUCUCUCUCUCUCUCUCUCUCUCUCUCUCUCUCACACACACACACCCACACACACACAUACACUUUCUGUGCCCACUGUACAAUAUUACCCAGGAUGCACUGCAGGAGGCCUACCAGGAGACAGAUGGAGCAUCAAGUGCAGUGAACAGCAACAUAUGAGCUCGAUUUGCUCAAUUACACCUCGUUACACACACACAUACACACACACAUCUCAGACAGUAAAUCAUCUCCAUCUGUCCAUGACAUCAUCAUGAGUUCAAAACAAAAAGACAGAUAUGAAUCACACAAAGAGCAGAGUGAAGAAGAGGGUGUGGCCUGUGUGUCUGGCAGUCACAGUGAAGGAGGCGUGGCCUGUGUGUCUGGCAAUGAAAUGCUAAUUAAUCUGAUGAGUGAGAACAGCAAUAUGACACACACACAUCCUGACUGAUAGAUCCAAUAUGCCUUUGAGUGUGUGUUUAUGUGUGUGUGUGUGUGUGUGUGUGUGUGUGUGUGUGUGUGCGCAAACAAAUUGACUCAGACAUAAUCAGAAACUCAGGGCAAGAUCGUAUUAAGACCGUUAAUUAAUGACCCAAAACUUCACACUCCAACAAGAAGAGACAAGCUAAUGUGUGUGUUUGUUUGUGUGUUUGCUUGUGUGUGUGUGUGUGUUCGUGUGUGUGUGUGUGUAUGUGUGUCUUUCAUGUGAAAAGAUAGAAACACCCUUCAGUGUAAAUGUCUGUCUAUAUUGGAUCUCUGGCAGCUCAAUAAUAUUACACAAAUAGAUAGAGAACAGACACGCACACACGCACAAACACACACACACACACACACACACACACACACACACACACACACACUGCAUGAAUGGCUUUUGUGUCCUGACAACAAAGACAUUGGCUGAGACAGAAAAAAACGAUCAUUUCUUUCUCUGAAAGACUGAAAUCACAAUGAUGGACAUUCUGGCUCACACACACACACACACACACACACACACACACACACACACAAAGUUAGAAUAAUCAAAGGAAUAAAGAAAAACAAAACAAAAAGAGAACCAUGUGACUCUCAGACAACACCUGGGAGAGUAAGGUGGUUUUGUGGUCUGGCGUGUUGAAUGAAUUAUUGAGUUGCUGUGAGGUGUUUAGACCACCUUAAACACACAUACAACACACAUCUAAUCUACACAUCUGAAACAAAACCACUAACACUGCUGCUAGAGGGAAAAUCCAGCUGUUUGCAUCUGUGUGUGUGUGUGUGUGUGUGUGUGUGUGUGUGUGUUUGUGUGAGGAAAACAGCUCAUCCUCACAGCUGCUGUCUCAAUUUUGCACAACAGUGUGUUCCUGAAACUCUUUGCACAGUUCUGCUCUCUCUCUCUCACACACACACACACACACACACACACACACACACACACACACACACAAAUAUUAACGCAAACACUGACUCAAUAAAAUACACUAAUCAUAACACUCAUACAAUUACAUACACACAAAUACAAUGCUAAAAACUGUAAUACACAUACACAUCAGUACACAGUAACACAAUAAUACACACUGUGAUAUAUACUGUAUCAUACAUACACACACACACACACAUACACAGAGAGUACCCUGUGAAUAGUGUUAUUGAGCUGUAUAGCGCAGGAAUGGUGCACACCCUGGUGGUCAGUGGUGGUAGUAACACACACAGUAAGUGUUUAACACACUGAGUGUUCAGGUUUUUCUGUCUGUCCAGGACAGUGAUUAAACAUUUUACACAACAUUUAUUAAACAAUUAAUUCAGUAAUAAUAAUAAAAAACAAUCCUUAGGGAAAAAAAGCACCAAAGUGUCCCAUGCUUAAAGUGUCCCAUCACCAAUCUGCCCCGACCCCUAUCUGCCCUACCCCCAAACUGCCCCACGCCAAAUCUGCCCCAUAGUCAACAUGUCCUGAUCGCAGAUGAAUUGGAAAAAUGUGAUGGAUGUCACUAACCUCAUCUACCUGCUGCACAUUCAGCUUUCACACAUUUCUACAAUUUAUAUUCAGCUUCAUUCCAUAUUGUGUAAACAUUUACUGAAUGUUUAAACAUUUCAACCUAACAGAAAAGAAGAGGACAAAGAAAGAAAGAAAGAAAGAAAGAAAAACUACCGUUCUGGUCUCUCUGCCUCAGAGAUUAGGAGAUUUGGUACUGUACUCAGUCUCCAUAGUAACUGCGAUGUGUUUGGGGUGCGCACACACACACACACACACACACACACUCCUGAACAGCUGGAGGCAAACCGGUACCUCAGGAGGCUCCAUUGCCAGAGUUUUUGUCUGAAUUGUGGCUGUUUUUAUUUUUCAUAUGAACAGAGACGUAAAGUUCUCAAUCCUGCACUCAUCUUCAUGUAGAAAUGUGUGUGAUUAUAACAGCUUUAUUAUUAUUAUCUUUCUAACAAGAUAAAUAAAUAUUGUGUCAAUAUAUAAAUGUAUAAUAUAAACGUAAAUAUUAUGUAAAUAGAUGAAAAUGUGUUUAUGUGUUCAUUCACUCCUCUGUUCAUGAUCUGUGUUAUCCAGGUCGGAGUCAGAGUCGGAGUCAGAGUCAGAGCAGAGUCAGAGUGGAGACAGAGUCGGAGUGGAAUCAGAGUGGACUCAGAGUCAGAGGGGAGACAGAGUCGGAGUGGAGUCAGAGUGGAGACAGAGACAGAGUCAGAGUGGAGUCAGAGUCGGAGUGGGGUUGGAGUCAGAGAGGAAUCAGAGUCAGAGUGGAAACGGAGACAGAGUCAGAGUGGAGUCAGAGUGGAGUCAGAGUCGGAGUGGAGUCAGAGACAGAGUGGAGACAGAGUCAGAGUGGAGACAGAGUCAGAGUGGAGUCAGAGUCGGAGUGGAGUCGGAGUCAGAGUGGAAUCAGAGUCAGAGUCAGAGUGGAGACAGAGUCAGAGUGGAAUCAGAGUCAGAGUGGAGACAGAGUGGAGUCAGAGUCGGAGUGGAGUCAGAGGAAAAGUGGAGUUGGAGUCAGAGUGGAAUCAGAGUCAGAGUGGAGUUGGAGUCAGAGUGGAAUCAGAGUCAGAGUGGAGUUGGAGUCAGAGUGGAAUCAGAGUCAGAGUGGAGUCAGAGUGGAGACAGAGUGGAGUCAAAGUCAGAGUGGAGACAGAGUGGAGUCAGAGUCAGAGUGGAGUCAGAGUCUUAGUGGAGUUGGAGUCAGAGUGGAAUCAGAGUCGGAGUCGGAGUGGAAGUGGAGUCAGAGUGGAGUUGGAGUCAGAGUGGAAUCAGAGUCAGAAGUCAGAGUGGAGUCGGACUGGAGUUGGAGUCAGAGUGGAAUCAGAGUCAGAGUCAGAGUGGAGACAGAGUCAGAGUGGAGUCAGAGUCAGAGUGGAGACAGAGUGGAGUCAGAGUCGGAGUGGAGUCAGAGGAAAAGUGGAGUUGGAGUCAGAGUGGAAUCAGAGUCAGAACGGAGUCAGAGUCAGAGUGGAGACAGAGUGGAGUCAGAGUCAGAGUGGAGUCAGAGUAUUAGUGGAGUUGGAGUCAGAGUGGAAUCAGAGUCGGAGACGGAGUCGGAGUGGAGUUCGAGUCAGAGUGGAAUCAGAGUCAGAGUCAGAGUGGAGUUGGAAUCAAGAUGGAAUCAGAGUCAGAGUCAGAGUGGAGACAGAGUCAGAGUGGAGUCAGAGUCAAAGUGGAGACAGAGUCGGAGUGGAGCCAGAGUGGAGUCAGAGUCAGAAUGAAGACAGAGACAGAGUCAGAGCGGAGUCAGAGUCGGAGUGGAGUUGGAGUGGAGUCAGAGUGGAGUCAGAGUCAGAGUGGAGUCGGAAUGGAGUUGGAGUCAGAGUGGAGUCAGAGUCGGAGUGGAGUCGGAGUCAGAGUGGUGUAAUUAGUAAUUUAUAUUUUGGGAAACAGACCCAAGUAAAUUAGUGAGAAAUAAUGGUCAUGAGAAACAAACAUAAAUAAUAACUGCUGCAACUGAUAAAAAAUCCAGUCCUGUGUGUCUCCAGCUCGAUGUGUUGAUUUUACAUUCUAUACACUAAUAAUAAACACUUUGUCCAGUUACAUAUGCAUGUGUUUUUGUGUAUGUGUAUGUGUAUGUGUGUGAGUCAGUGUUUAAAGACCAUUCUGAAUUAAACAGAAGAGACCGAGUGUGUUCUAGCGGUUUCUCUAGUGAGAAACUGUAUAUUUGUGAUAAGUGGAACAUCCAAGACAACAGCAGCGCGUCGAUAAAAACUUCACAGAGGAGACAGAGCUGAAGACAAACGUCCUCAGAGAGACAGUGUGUGUGUGUGUGUGUGUGUUGGAGAUCAAAGGUGUGGUGCAUCAUCCAGUUCAUAACGACUCAUCACACACUCGUCAGUGGCGUUAAAGUCAAUAACGAUAAUAAAUCUCAUUUUACACUUUACUCUGUGCUGUUUUCACAACCCACCAUGCUUUGCUUUCCUGAGCAGUAAAGAAGUGGCUGGAGUCAAGCGCCCCCUGGAGGUGUGUCUAUAACAUGACUGACAGCACGGACCUGUUUUUUUUUCUUUUUCUUUGACCUUUUUUUCUUCUUUCACUUGCUUUGGAUUCUACGUUUUUAACAGAUGUUUCUUUGUCAUCACCGAUAUUUAUUUAUUUGUAGUGGUAAGAACAAUUAAAAAAAAAAAAAUCCUCACUGCACCUUUCAGGUCGGACCAUUAUUCCAAACUAGAGACUUUUCUUUCAUUACUACUGAAUCUACUCGUUCUGGAAGCCAUAAUAAGAAACACGGGCCUGUAAUUCUUUUCUGUACACGCUGCACAGCUAACUCCUGAAACAAGAACACAUUGUUAUGCUAAUGACAGCGUUAGCUGCAGUGAGCUUAACACUAACACACACACAGAGUGUUUGAUCCCGUGUAACGAGCUGAAAUUUGUGUGUGUACCUGUGUAUCCAGCAUCAUCAUCAUCACCACCAUCCACAGCUCAUAUCUCCUUCUUCCUCCUCCUCCUCCUCUUGGUCAGUUCUCACGGUCUCGUAGGGUUUCAAUCCAACCCGUCCUCCAGCAGCACUCGGGAAAGCACGCACGCUCUCUGGAACGCACUCCGGAGUGUAACUAGGGGUCAUCAGAGGUCAUCCACUACAAACACAUCCAGCACAGUGAAUGUCCGAGGGGGAGAAAGUGCAAAAAUCCAGCACUGUUUAUUUCACCACCACCACCACCACCCCACCCCCCCUUUAACCCUGAGGAUGAUUAAACGAGACGAGGAUGAGGAAAACUGAGGAAGCACCGAGCUCCAGCUGCACUGGAUUCUGGAAAAGUGCUAAGUGGUUAAGGUUCUGUGCUAUUAAUCAGAAGGUUGUGUGUUCAAAACCCACCGCCAGAGAGCUCUUGCUGAGGAAGAACCCUCAUUCCUCAGGUGAUCAGUUGUGUGCUUUUUGUAAACGUCAGGAAGUCUCCACUGGUGCUGCACUGCUUAUUAAAGAAACCCUGAACGUCUCCAUUUAAUUCCAGCCAGCUCUGAGUUACCCUUUAAAGGAUGCACACGCUCCCACAGCAGCCCAUUCUCCUCAGCAGUGAUCUCAAUUACGGACCUGCUCUAAAAAAAAUUAUAAUAAUUAAAAACCCCAACAGAAACCUUUAAGGUGUCUCUUUUAAUUCCAGAAACGUUGGAUUCUCCCUUUAAAGGACUUGUACAGUUUUCUCGGUAACGCUGCGUCCGGUUUCAGACGAAAUGCAGAUCAGCGCUCAGGUGUGAUCUUGAUUAUAGACCUCACAUCCCUUUACACUUCCAAAAGUGGAAAAGUCAAAAAGUCAAUACAAAUACAUCCCUUUAACUCCAACCACGUCAGACUGGAAUGAAAAAUGAAUUUCUAAAAAAAGAAGAACGUGUAUUCUGAUAUCUGUCCUAGCUGAGAGUCAGACAUUCAGUGUCAAGAUACAAACUGUGGAUCUUCAAAUCCAAAAAUAUGUAGAUUAAUGACGUUCCUUUAAUGACGAUGUAGCUGUAAUUGGUGUCUACCUUUGACCUUUUCAUCUGAGAGGGUACAGGUGAGAUGCUCAGGAUGCAGGUCCGUGCACACUAGAUGAUGCACACUAGAUGAUGCAUACUAGGCCACUUCAUAAAGUCUGCAACAGUGCACAAUCUUCAAUCCAACAACCGAGAUUACAAUCCCGGGUUAAACCCGAGUGUGUGCGGAUUUAAUCCGAGAUAAAUCCAGGUCAGGACAGACAGGACCGAAUGAUGAGGAUGAAGAAGAUGCAGCAGCUUCAUCAUGCCUGGUUCAUCUUUCCAUUUUUUCUCUCUCCGAAUCAUCAACACACCACAUCCCAAAUAUUCAUCCCAUUUUUAAGGCACGGCGCGCGCGUUUCUCCAUCUUUUUCCUUCCUCCAGAUUGUGCUUGAAUUCCAUCUUCUCUCUCUUUUUUUUUUUUUUUUUUUUUUUUUUUUUUUUUUGCUGCUCUGACAAAAUGGACGGCCUCUCUUGCUUUUUUUUCUUAUCUCUCGAGCUCAGUCCGUUUCCACUCCCUUUUAUUUUUCUCCCGCUCCAUUAUCACAUUCUUCCCAUAUGCAAGAAGACAAGAAAACCCUGCAGGAAUGAUAAAUCAGAGAGAAAACGCGUGCAUUCCGGUGAAAGUCUCUGCUUUUUUUUUUUUUCUUAACGCGGUGAUUGAAAUAAAACGCACCCAGAUCGACGGGAUCGGACUGCACACGCUGUAUGCUGGGUAGAGUGGCUCAAAAUCAGCACGCUCGCUCGCACUUGCAUGAUGAAAUCGGAUUGGAUGUCUGAGAACAGCCUGAAAGAAAUUCGUAAUGAAUUACAAUUUACAUGCUAAUAAAGCACUCUG